rnacentral:rRNA from 1 species
GUUGAACGCUGGCGGCAUGCCUUACACAUGCAAGUCGAACGGCAGCACGGGAGCAAUCCUGGCGGCGAGUGGCGAACGGGUGAGCAAAGUAUCGGAACGUGCCCAGUCGUGGGGGAUAACGUAGCGAAAGUUACGCUAAUACCGCAUACGAUCUAUGGAUGAAAGCGGGGGAUCGCAAGACCUCGCGCGAUUGGAGCGGCCGAUAUCAGAUUAGGUAGUUGGUGGGGUAAAGGCUCACCAAGCCGACGAUCUGUAGCUGGUCUGAGAGGACGACCAGCCACACUGGGACUGAGACACGGCCCAGACUCCUACGGGAGGCAGCAGUGGGGAAUUUUGGACAAUGGGCGAAAGCCUGAUCCAGCCAUGCCGCGUGCAGGAUGAGGGCCUUCGGGUUGUAAACUGCUUUUGUACGGAACGAAAAGGUUUGGCCUAAUAAGCUGAGCUCAUGACGGUACCGUAAGAAUAAGCACCGGCUAACUACGUGCCAGCCGCCGCGGUAA